GCUAAACGCGAAGAACCUUACCCAGGCUUGACAUCCUGUUAAUCACUCCGAAAGGAGAGAGUGCCUUCGGGCCGCAGUGACAGGUGAUGCAUGGCCGUCGUCAGCUCGUGUCGUGAGAUGUUUGGUUAAGUCCAUCAACGAGCGCAACCCUUAUGAGUAGUUGUAUUUCUCUACUCAGACUGCCCUGGUAACAGGGAGGAAGGAGGGGAUGAUGUCAGGUCAGUAUCUCCCUUACGUCUGGGGCUACAAACACGCUACAAUGGCCGGUACAAAGGGCAGCCAACCCGCGAGGGGGAGCAAAUCCCAUCAAAGCCGGUCUCAGUUCGGAUUGUAGGCUGAAACUCGCCUGCAUGAAGCUGGAAUCGCUAGUAAUGGUAGGUCAGCACACUACCGUGAAUACGUUCCCGGGUCUUGUACACACCG
rnacentral:rRNA from 1 species